AUGAGAAAGGGGAGAAAAAUGAUGCCUUUGGUCAGCUGUUUAGCAUUGCAUGUUCUGUAAAAUAAAUUAUAAUAUAUUAAUAUAAACUGUAAACUAAUAAUAAAAACUGUAAUUAUUAUUAAUAAACUUACAGUUUAUAAUCCAGUUGUGCUGUGAGAGAAGUUCAGCAGCUGGAUAAUGCAGGAUAGAAAAUGGAGUUGACAGAGAUGCAAAACAACUCUCCUACUGCAGUACGGACUCCCUUUCACUGUCUCUUUUAGCUGGAGACCUGGGCUGUGCAUCUGUGUUCCUCCAUCUACAAUGAGAAGAAAGGGUUUGUUUUUUUUAAUUUCAUUGUUGUAACAAAUAAAAAUCAAGGGAGCUUGGCAACUGUGUUUGACUGUGAGUGGUUCUAGAAGUCUGACCUUUAUUCUUCUGUCAUUCAUAUUGAACACUGAUCCCUAGGUGCACAGUGUGUCUGUUCCUCAGGGGUUCAUAUGGUCUCGUGUACUUGACACUGCAAAAAAACAGUAGCAGAAGCAGUG
rnacentral:lncRNA from 1 species